rnacentral:rRNA from 1 species
AUUGAACGCUGGCGGCAUGCCUUACACAUGCAAGUCGAACGGCAGCACGGGAGCAAUCCUGGUGGCGAGUGGCGAACGGGUGAGUAAAGUAUCGGAACGUGCCCAGUCGUGGGGGAUAACGUAGCGAAAGUUACGCUAAUACCGCAUACGAUCUAUGGAUGAAAGCGGGGGAUCGCAAGACCUCGCGCGAUUGGAGCGGCCGAUAUCAGAUUAGGUAGUUGGUGGGGUAAAGGCUCACCAAGCCGACGAUCUGUAGGUGGUCUGAGAGGACGACCAGCCACACUGGGACUGAGACACGGCCCAGACUCCUACGGGAGGCAGCAGUGGGGAAUUUUGGAUAAUGGGCGAAAGCCUGAUCCAGCCAUGCCGCGUGCAGGAUGAAGGCCUUCGGGUUGUAAACUGCUUUUGUACGGAACGAAAAGGUUUGGCCUAAUAAGCUGAGCUCAUGACGGUACCGUAAGAAUAAGCACCGGCUAACUACGUGCCAGCAGCCGCAGUAA